rnacentral:lncRNA from 1 species
UGCACACAGAAACAUAUCGUUUCAGCUUCCACCUGUUUAAAUUCAAGGACCACAUUGUCUCCAAAACUCAAGAAACCACAAGGAGGAGAUGAAAAUGCAUGAGAGCUACAAAUACACUUGAUGGCUAGUCACAGAUUUGCUGAAGGUCGUGAGCCGGUCGCCUUUCAUCCCCCAUCCUGCAGAUGUUUUGCACUCCAGCUGGUGGCUCAGUUACCUGGAGCUGGUGAGACUUGGACUCCAGAACACGUGGAAACUACAGCAGAGGCUGCCUUGGGCUUUCACCUUGUGCGGCAAAGAAUCUGAACAAUCCAUUUUGAUCCAGACUGCCAGCUUUCGUUCUAAGCUGUGCUCGGAGACACCUAGUGGCAGCAGUGUUUCUUGACACUGGCCGAUGCAUCGUUGCCUGCGAAAGGGCCGUCCAUUUUGUUGAAAGCUCACCAUUACACUCUGUCCAGAGAUCCUGGCAAAUAGGAGAUCCCAACUCCUCCUGCUUCAGGUGCAAAAUCCACCUAGGACAACCCAAAGGUUCACAAAUGUUUUGGGGACACCUGUGUAAUAGUGAUGCAGGAUAUUUACCUUCGUGGUUUAUCUUGGAACUAGUGUGGGCAGUCGUUCAUUUUGGAGUUUUUCUGCUCCUAAACUGUGACAGCUUCUUUGCAUCCCGAAGGGAGGUGGGAAUCAUAAUUUUGCAUGAGAGGUGAGAAGUCACACUUGUAAUUCUCCAUCAAAAGAAACCUUAGCACGAUUGUUGUUGUUAUUAUUGCCAUGAUGAUGAUAACAAUAAUAGUCACACAUAGUCUUCCAGAUUUUCUUGACCGUGUUUGGCACUCAUGGUGGUAGAGAUGAUUAGAUAAGGAGAUGGAGGUAUUUUUUGUGAAAUAUGUGGAGUUCCAAGUAGUGCCGUCUUUUGCAAUCGAUGACUAGACAUGCUGUCAAUUCCUUGUGUGCUAAUGUGUUUCUCCAAAUAAUAUCAUCAUUGGCUUUUACAGUUGUAUGAGUCUUUUGUGUCUUGAACCACUUCCCAAAAGAAGGAUUUAAAAAUGUCAGACAAAUAUGCAGUAUAAAUACUAAAACAAUUCUGUGACUGUGG